UUCCAGGCUGCCAUCACUUCCUUUUUUGGAAAAAAAAUCUGAUGACCUCUUCCCCUGAGCUUUAAUUGAAGGACAGGAAGUCGGGAAGCUAGCUGAAUGCCUGAGCUACUCUACCAGAUAGAAAACAAACACUUUUCAUUAAUCAGUUUGAAGAACUUUACCGCCUCAUCAUGGACACCAUUCAUUUCACAAAGUCAAACAGCAUACAGCCAUUAACAAACAUCAGUAUCUUAAUACUACAGCAAGAGACCACUCUUCUGUGCUGCUAAACUGAAAGUAGCCAAAGUCCAGCUUUCCCCGUUGUGACAGGGAGCUCUGUAAGAAUUUCAAUUUCAAUCUGUUGGUGGUGAGCAUUUUAAGUGUGUCAAAUCUAUGUGUGAUCGCUGACACAUGGGUCCUUUUGGACCUGGAAGAAGGCAGAACGGGGGUGGGACACACUUAUAUGCACUCUGCCAAUGUGCAUGGGGGUGCCGUGAACAGAACCCUCACACAAAAUGGUCGCCACCUGCAUUUAGAAGAUGAGUGAUUCCAUCAUCCUUUCUCUCCCUUCCCCCAAAGAAUCAGAAUAGGGCUGUCAAGGUCACCUGCCCCUUCCGUUUAAAAGGAAACAAACAGAUUGAGGUAUCGUGUCAUCUGUAGAUUAUAGAUUGUGAUACCUUCCUGACACUGUAUACCAAAUCACACAGGAAGUGAACUUUGAGAUGUUUCAAUGAGUAAGGUGU